AUACGGAGGGUGCAAGCGUUAAUCGGAAUUACUGGGCGUAAAGAGUACGUAGGUGGUUUGUUAAGUCAGAUGUGAAAGCCCCGGGCUCAUCCUGGGAACUGCAUUUGAAACUGGCAAGCUAGAGUAUGGUAGAGGGGGGUAGAAUUUCUAGUGUAGCGGUGAAAUGCGUAGAUAUUAGAAGGAAUACCAGUGGCGAAGGCGGCCCCCUGGACCAAUACUGACACUGAGGUACGAAAGCGUGGGUAGCGAACAGGAUUAGAAACCCUAGUAGUCC
rnacentral:rRNA from 1 species